UACGGGGGGCAAGCGUUGUUCGGAAUUACUGGGCGUAAGGGCUCGUAGGCGGCCAUCUAAGUCGGACGUGAAAUCCCUCGGCUUAACCGGGGAACUGCGUCUGAUACUGGAUGGCUGAAUCCGGGAGAGGGAUGGCGGAAUUCCUGGUGUAGCGGUGGAAUGCGCAGAUAUCAGGAGGAACACCGGUGGCGAAGGCGGCCUGCUGGGCAGUUUGGCUGACACUGAGGCGCGACAGCGUGGGGAGCAAACAGG
rnacentral:rRNA from 1 species